GGGCAAGGCGGCGGGCCUACUACAUGCAGUCGAGCGACUGGAUUAAAAGCUUGCUCUUAUGAAGUUAGCGGCGGACGGGUGAGUAACACGUGGGUAACCUGCCCAUAAGACUGGGAUAACUCCAGGAAACCGGGGCUAAUACCGGAUAACAUUUUGAACUGCAAGGUUCGAAAUUGAAAGGCGGCUUCUGCUGUCACUUAUGGAUGGACCCGCGUCGCAUUAGCUAGUUGGUGAGGUAACGGCUCACCAAGGCGACGAUGCGUAGCCGACCUGACAGGGUGAUCGGCCACACUGGGACUGACACACGGCCCAGACUCCUACGGGAGGCAGCAGUAGGGAAUCUUCCGCAAUGGACGAAAGUCUGACGGAGCAUCGCCGCGUGAGUGAUGAAGGCUUUCGGGUCGUAAAACUCUGUUGUUAGGGAAGAACAAGUGCUAGUUGAAUAAGCUGGCACCUUGACGGUACCUAACCAGAAAGCCACGGCUAACUACGUGCCAGCAGCCGCGGUAAUACGUAGGUGGCAAGCGUUAUCCGGAAUUAUUGGGCGUAAAGCGCGCGCAUGUGGUUUCUUAAAUCUGAUGUGAAAGCCCACGGCUCAACCGUGGAGGGUCAUUGGAAACUGGGAGACUUGAGUGCAGAAGAGGAAAGUGGAAUUCCAUGUGUAGCGGUGAAAUGCGUAGAGAUAUGGAGGAACACCAGUGGCGAACGCGACUUUCUGGUCUGUAACUGACACUGAGGCGCGUAAGCGUGGGGAGCAAACAGGAUUAGAUACCCUGGUAGUCCACGCCGUACACGAUGAGUGCUGACUGUUAGAGGGUAUCCGCC
rnacentral:rRNA from 2 species